rnacentral:rRNA from 1 species
AACGAACGCUGGCGGCGUGGAUAAGACAUGCAAGUCGGACGGGAUUUUCCGUUGUAGCAAUACGAUGAAAAGUCUAGUGGCGAACGGGUGCUUAACACGUGGGCAACCUGCCAGGAAGUGGGGGAUAGCUCGCCGAAAGGCGAAUUAAUACCGCAUGUGAUUAGAGAGGACAUCCUUUCGAAAUUAAAGUCGGGGCAACCUGACGCUUCUUGUGGGGCCCGCGGCCUAUCAGCUAGUUGGUGAGGUAAUGGCUCACCAAGGCUUUGACGGGUAGCGGGUCUGAGAGGACAACCAGCCACACUGGGACUGAGGCACGGCCCAGACACCUACGGGUGGCAGCAGUCGAGAAUUUUUGACAAUGGGGGAAACCCUGAUCGAGCGACGCCGCGUGGAGGAUGAAGGUCUUCGGAUUGUAAACUCCUGUCAUUGGGGAACAAGGUGCAUACGUUAACUGCGUGUGCAUUGAUAGUACCCGAAGAGGAAGAGACGGCUAACUCUGUGCCAGCAGCCGCCGUAAUAC